ACGUAUGGUGCAAGCGUUAUCCGGAUUUACUGGGUGUAAAGGGAGCGCAGGCGGUGCGGCAAGUCUGAUGUGAAAGCCCGGGGCUCAACCCCGGUACUGCAUUGGAAACUGUCGUACUAGAGUGUCGGAGGGGUAAGCGGAAUUCCUAGUGUAGCGGUGAAAUGCGUAGAUAUUAGGAGGAACACUAGUGGCGAAGGCGGCUUACUGGACGAUAACUGACGCUGAGGCUCGAAAGCGUGGGGAGCAAACAG
rnacentral:rRNA from 1 species